AUAUCAGACUAUUAUGAGGUUGACAGAGAAUCAUAUUCUCCUAGUUCUGCAUGGCCAACUUCAUUUGAUGAAACGGGCGAUGAAGGCAAGUUUCACAGUUCAGAAUAUGCAUAUAAGGCACACCAUGAUGGCCAUUUCCUUGCACUAGAACCUUUCGAACCAACAUGGAUGCUGAAUCCCAAUUAUUAUGGCAGCUAUGAGGAAUUUUCUGCUCCAGACAAGCAGCUAUAUUCAAGUGAUGUGAGCUCAAAAUUCCACAAGAUGAUGAUGGAUCCUAUGGUGGCAUUUGCUGAAAAUGGUGGCCAAUUUGCUUUUCUCGCAGAUUUGCUCUUAUUAUGACUGGUAAACUUGGGCCCAAAUUAUAUAACUGAGCGCUUAAUAUUGUUGAAUUAGGGGAAUGA